AUUGAACGCUGGCGGCAGGCCUAACACAUGCAAGUCGAGCGGUAGAGAGAAGCUUGCUUCUCUUGAGAGCGGCGGACGGGUGAGUAAUGCCUAGGAAUCUGCCUAGUGGUGGGGGAUAACGUUCGGAAACGGACGCUAAUACCGCAUACGUCCUACGGGAGAAAGCGGGGGAUCUUCGGACCUCGCGCCAUUAGAUGAGCCUAGGUCGGAUUAGCUAGUUGGUGAGGUAAUGGCUCACCAAGGCGACGAUCCGUAACUGGUCUGAGAGGAUGAUCAGUCACACUGGAACUGAGACACGGUCCAGACUCCUACGGGAGGCAGCAGUGGGGAAUAUUGGACAAUGGGCGAAAGCCUGAUCCAGCCAUGCCGCGUGUGUGAAGAAGGUCUUCGGAUUGUAAAGCACUUUAAGUUGGGAGGAAGGGCAGUAACCUAAUACGUUAUUGUUUUGACGUUACCGACAGAAUAAGCACCGGCUAACUUCGUGCCAGCAGCCG
rnacentral:rRNA from 1 species